rnacentral:rRNA from 1 species
GUGGGGAAUAUUGGACAAUGGGCGCAAGCCUGAUCCAGCCAUGCCGCGUGAGUGAUGAAGGUCUUAGGAUUGUAAAGCUCUUUCACCGGGGACGAUAAUGACGGUACCCGGAGAAGAAGCCCCGGCUAACUUCGUGCCAGCAGCCGCGGUAAUACGAAGGGGGCUAGCGUUGUUCGGAAUUACUGGGCGUAAAGCGCACGUAGGCGGAUAUUUAAGUCAGGGGUGAAAUCCCGGGGCUCAACCCCGGAACUGCCUUUGAUACUGGGUAUCUUGAGUGUGGUAGAGGUGAGUGGAAUUGCGAGUGUAGAGGUGAAAUUCGUAGAUAUUCGCAGGAACACCAGUGGCGAAGGCGGCUCACUGGACCACAACUGACGCUGAGGUGCGAAAGCGUGGGGAGCAAACAGG